GCAGGUUCCACCGCGAAUUCCUUCUCGAGCUCUGCUCUCAGGAGUAUCCUCCAGACUCUCUACUGGUUGCCAGAAGUACUGAGUGGCCAUUUUGGGAUAAAGCAACACUGAGAGUUAAUUUAGAGAUGUUUGGAGAAAAGCUUAAUAAAACCGACUAAUAAGGUUUGACAUGCUGAAGAUUAGAGAGAUCCAUUCUGAACAUCUGCCCUGACUCCGAGGUGCACAUUGUUGUCAGCCCCGAAUGUGACUGCAUGAGGCAGACUAUUGCUUUUAUCAGCCCUGGGAGAAGACAUCUUUCUCUUUCAUGGAACAAAGAGGACUUUGGGGAUCAAAGACAAAACUGAAUGUGUUGCAGGAAAAAUCAAGAUUUUGAUAUCGAUGGAGCUGAAUCUUUCUUUGCCACUGACUCACCUGUUAUCUCUGAAGUCAUUCAAGAAAGGAAAUGGGAGACGAGAGCCAGCCUGUGGUCAGACUUGACUCUCUGCCCUGACUCCGAAUGAGACACGGCGUUGCAGCUGCGUUUGCGGCACGGUUGGCAUGGUGAGCGCAGAUACAACAUACAGCGUACUUCUGUGUACAAAGGUGCAGUGAAGAGGGCUUUCUGG
rnacentral:lncRNA from 1 species